rnacentral:rRNA from 1 species
CCUACGGGAGGCAGCAGUGGGGAAUAUUGCACAAUGGGGGGAACCCUGAUGCAGCGACGCCGCGUGGGUGAAGGAGUAUUUCGUUAUGUAAAGCCCUAUCAGCAGGGAAGAACAAUGACGGUACCUGACUAAGAAGCACCGGCUAAAUACGUGCCAGCAGCCGCGGUAAUACGUAUGGUGCAAGCGUUAUCCGGAUUUACUGGGUGUAAAGGGAGCGCAGGCGGCGCGUUAAGCCUGGUGUGAAAGCCCGCGGCCCAACCGCGGGACUGCUUUGGAAACUGCAUAGCUGGAGUGCUGGAGAGGCA